rnacentral:lncRNA from 1 species
GGAAGGGCAGCCAUAUGGGCUUCCAAAACAAAUAACCCAAGAACCACGGAAGGGGAGAAGCAUAGACCUUUGGGGCCAUCCAAAAAUUAGAGGAAGAACGCCCAAGCCUAUUGCCAAUCACCCAUUUAAAGCCUUGGUCCAAAGGCCAAAUAUGCAUGAGCAAGCCCGUGUAUGUGCACAACAAGCAUGCCACACACAUGAGCCAUCUAAGUCUAUGUGAGGGGUCCGGACUGCACGACAUGGGCUGCAUCAAUGAGGCCUACAUUUAUCAAGGCCCACAACCCAAGUAAGGUGCAAACCCAAAAGGCCAUGCGUAU